UACGUAGGGGGGCGAGCGUUGUCCGGAUUUAUUGGGCGUAAAGAGCGUGUAGGCGGCCAGGUAGGUCUGCUGUGAAAACUCGAGGCUCAACCUCGAGACGUCGGCGGAAACCAUCUGGCUAGAGUCCGGAAGAGGAGAGUGGAAAUUCCUGGUGUAGCGGUGAAAUGCGCAGAUAUCAGGAAGAACACCAAUGGCGAAAGCAGCUUUCUGGGACGGUACUGACGCUGAGACGCGAAAGCGUGGGGAGCGAACAGG
rnacentral:rRNA from 1 species